GACAGAGGGUGCAAACGUUGUUCGGAAUUACUGGGCGUAAAGCGCGUGUAGGCUGCUCGAACAGUCGGGUGUGAAAGCCCUGGGCUCAACCCAGGAAGUGCAUUCGAUACUGCCGAGCUUGAGUCCUGGAGAGGAAGGCGGAAUUCUCGGUGUAGAGGUGAAAUUCGUAGAUAUCGAGAGGAACACCGGUGGCGAAGGCGG
rnacentral:rRNA from 1 species